rnacentral:rRNA from 1 species
UACGAAGGGGCUAGCGUUGUUCGGAAUUACUGGGCGUAAAGCGCACGUAGGCGGAUUUGUAAGUCAGGGGUGAAAUCCCGGGGCUCAACCUCGGAACUGCCUUUGAUACUGCGAAUCUCGAGUCCGGAAGAGGUGAGUGGAAUUCCUAGUGUAGAGGUGAAAUUCGUAGAUAUUAGGAAGAACACCAGUGGCGAAGGCGGCUCACUGGUCCGGUACUGACGCUGAGGUGCGAAAGCGUGGGGAGCAAACAGG